AUAUUUUAUCAAUGCUUAACAAGUUUUUUCGGAUUUAUUUAAUCGAAUACUUAUAGAGCUGUGAUUAUAGUAGUAAAUUUCCCUUAUGGUUGCGAGGUUUGAACGACAACAUAUAAAUAGACAGAUGUUAGGGAGAAUAGGGAGAAGUUUGAGAACAUUCGAGAAUAAAGUAUGAAGGAAAAUCUGUGAGCCAGCCAUCGAUGAAGGUAUGAGGAACUGCAUAGGCGUGUCUACGGUGGUAGCCUAGGGUGACUGGGCUGUCCCUGCAAUUUU